GGCUUACCAAGGCGACGAUCAGUAGCCGACCUGAGAGGGUGAUCGGCCACAUUGGAACUGAGACACGGUCCAAACUCCUACGGGAGGCAGCAGUGGGGAAUAUUGCACAAUGGGCGAAAGCCUGAUGCAGCAACGCCGCGUGAGCGAUGAAGGCCUUCGGGUCGUAAAGCUCUGUCCUCAAGGAAGAUAAUGACGGUACUUGAGGAGGAAGCCCCGGCUAACUACGUGCCAGCAGCCGCGGUAAUACGUAGGGGGCUAGCGUUAUCCGGAAUUACUGGGCGUAAAGGGUGCGUAGGUGGUUUCUUAAGUCAGAGGUGAAAGGCUACGGCUCAACCGUAGUAAGCCUUUGAAACUGAGAAACUUGAGUGCAGGAGAGGAGAGUAGAAUUCCUAGUGUAGCGGUGAAAUGCGUAGAUAUUAGGAGGAAUACCAGUUGCGAAGGCGGCUCUCUGGACUGUAACUGACACUGAGGCACGAAAGCGUGGGGAGCAAACAGGAUUAGAUACCCUGGUAGUCCACGCCGUAAACGAUGAGUACUAG
rnacentral:rRNA from 1 species